CAGCAGCCGCGGGAAUACAGAGGGUGCAAGCGUUAAUCGGAAUUACUGGGCGUAAAGCGCGCGUAGGUGGUUUGUUAAGUUGGAUGUGAAAUCCCCGGGCUCAACCUGGGAACUGCAUCCAAAACUGGCAAGCUAGAGUAUGGUAGAGGGUGGUGGAAUUUCCUGUGUAGCGGUGAAAUGCGUAGAGAUAGGAAGGAACACCAGUGGCGAAGGCGACCACCUGGACUGAUACUGACACUGAGGUGCGAAAGCGUGGGGAGCAAACAGGAUUAGAUACCCCCGUAGUCCCUGUCUCUUAUAC
rnacentral:rRNA from 1 species